ensembl:lncRNA
CGGGCGGGAAAGGCAUGGUGCUGCCGGGCCGGCGGGUGCUCAGUGCCCUGGAAGGAGAGGGGCGGCUUUAGUCCCCGGGGCGCGGAGCCGGGCGCCCUCUCCAUGGGUGGCCGGGGUCGGCCCCUCGCGCUCCCUCCGUACCCACCUCGGUCCAGCCGCGGCAUCGCCGGCCCCGCCAGGCCCCGGCGCCCACACCCCGGGGCUGUACGCCGCCGAGGCACCCUCCUUCCUUGGGCAGCCGGGGGCUCUGCCCCCGCUCGGGGGCUCCUCGCCCUGCGGGGUGCGGAUCGCCACCGGCCGCCUGGUCCGCGCCGAGAGAGACGCGCGGGCGGGAGGAGGAGCUGAGCGCGCCGGCGGGAGGCGGGCGCCGCGGGGCGAGGUGCUCCUGCGGCCGGCUGGUGUCACGACCGACUGGGCCGGGCGACGCUCCUCGGCGGACCUGCCACCGCCAGGGCUAGUUUUCAUCCAUCGGAGGCGGGGAGAACCGGGCGUGUCCUAAGCCCUAGGCGGAGUCCUUGCCCAGUGCAGAGAAAAUCCGGUGCCACCUCGCAGUGCCUUUAAGAUGGUGGGAAGGACAGCGACGGGGACCGCUGGCCGGGCUGGCCUCGGAUUCCGGUGUCAGAGCAGAAAGCUGGCUGGAACUUGGAGGCGGGAAAAGACAUUUCAGUGAAUCGUCUGGUGUCGUUUUUAUAGAACGUUGAUAUAUCGCUGCUGAAAGGCAGUCAUUUUAAAUUUAAAAACCUAGUUCUCCUUGAAUAGGCAAAAUAAAUAAUGAUACAGGAAAUUUCAGACGUUAGGUUCUUUUAGGGAGUGAUUCCAGCGAGCGAAGGGGAGUAGGUAUUGCUGUAACAGUGGUUCAGCAUGCAUGAGACAUCUUCACUGUCAACUCAGAUUCUAGAGGUAGAGACAGAAAAAUAUUCCUACAGUAUUCAAACGUUUGCUGAAGAAAUGAAUGAUUCAUUGGCCCACGACAGAGCGAUGCAUCAUAAAGUCAAAGGUGCAGAGUCACUGUAUGAACAAAGAUUUUUCAUUAGAACAACUCUUUCAAAUAUUUCCAGGAUGAAUCAAGUAUAUGCAGAAAACACUCCAAUCAUUGAAGUAAAUGCCAAGAAGAGUACGCCCAGGCCGGGGUGAAACUGUCGCUCGCGGGUGACUGUCGCCCGGGUCUGAACUGAACUGGAAAGGAUGGAGGCUGUGCUGGGAUGACGUCACUGCAGCGAGGGGCCAGAGAUGCUCACACGUCGUGCCUG